UUUGAAGGAGUAGUGUGACAUUCUUUUAUAACCAUUACAUCAAUUCAAAAAUAUGUGCAAAUAAAAAAAAUGAAUUUCAACUAUUUUUUUAUUGUCCUUGCAUCAUUAUUGAAUGAAAUUCCUUGUGAUUUUUGCAGUUGCAUAGCAUUCUCUGUUCUGGAUUAGUUUCAAAGCGUGCUAAUAUCAAUCUUUUGAAGGGACACAAUUUGUAGA
rnacentral:lncRNA from 1 species